rnacentral:rRNA from 1 species
UACGUAGGGGCCUAGCGUUGUCCGGAUUUAUUGGGCGUAAAGAGCUCGUAGGCGGCUUGGUAAGUCAGGUGUGAAAUCUCCACGCUCAACGUGGAGGGGCCACCUGAUACUGCCAUGGCUUGAGUCCGGUAGGGGAGUGUGGAAUUCCCGGUGUAGCAGUGAAAUGCGUAGAGAUCAUGAGGAAGACCAGUGGCGAAGGCGGGUCUCUGGACAGUGCCUGACACUGAGGCACGAAGGCCAGGGGAGCAAACGGG